GAUGAACGCUGGCGGCGUGCCUAAUACAUGCAAGUCGAGCGAUGGGACGAGAAUGUUUCUUCUCGGAUGUAAUCGGCGGACGGGUGAGUAACACGUGGAGAACCUACCUAGAAGACUGGGUUAACUUCGGGAAACCGGAGCUAAUACCGGAUAAUAUUUUGUACAACAUGUAUCAAAAAUAUAAUGCGGUCUUGCUGGCACUUAUAGAUGAAUCUGGGCUUCAUUAGCUAUUUGGUAAGGUAACGGCUUACCAAGGCAACGAUGGAUAGCAGACCUGAGAGGGUACUAGGACACGCUGGAACUGAGGAGCGGGCCAGAACACUGGGACAGGCAGCCGUAGGGAACCUUUCGGAAUGGGAGAAAGCCUGAAGGAGGAACGACGCGUGAAUGCUGAAGGUAUUCAGACCGUGAAAUUCUGUAAUCCGGGAAGAACAUAUGUGUAUGUAAACGUGCACAACAUGACGGUACCUAAUCAGAAAGCCCCGGCUAACUACGUG
rnacentral:rRNA from 1 species